GACGAACGCUGGCGGCGUGCCUAACACAUGCAAGUCGAGCGAGGAACUUCGGUUCCUAGCGGCGGACGGGUGAGUAACACGUGGGCAACCUGCCUUGUAGAGGGGGAUAGCCUUCCGAAAGGAAGAUUAAUACCGCAUAACAUCACGAAAUCGCAUGGUUUUGUGAUCAGAGGAGCAAUCCGCUACAAGAUGGGCCCGCGGCGCAUUAGCUAGUUGGUGAGGUAACGGCUCACCAAGGCGACGAUGCGUAGCCGACCUGAGAGGGUGAUCGGCCACAUUGGAACUGAGAAACGGUCCAGACUCCUACGGGAGGCAGCAGUGGGGAAUAUUGCACAAUGGGGGAAACCCUGAUGCAGCAACGCCGCGUGAGUGAUGAAGGCCUUCGGGUUGUAAAGCUCUGUCUUCAGGGACGAUAAUGACGGUACCUGAGGAGGAAGCCACGGCUAACUACGUGCCAGCCGCCGCAGUAAAAC
rnacentral:rRNA from 1 species